rnacentral:rRNA from 1 species
UACGAGGGGUGCAAGCGUUGCUCGGAAUUAUUGGGCGUAAAGGGUAGGUAGGUGGUCUCGUUUGUCUGGGGUGAAAUCCUUGAGCUUAACUCAAGAAGUGCCCCCAGAAACGGCGAGACUUGAGUACUGGAGAGGGUCGUGGAAUUCCCGGUGUAGCGGUGAAAUGCGCAGAUAUCGGGAGGAACACCCGUAGCGAAGGCGGCACUCUGGGCCGGUACUGACGCUGAGGAGCGAAAGCGUGGGGAGCAAACAGG